AUACGGAAGGCAGCAGUGGGGAAUCUUGUGCAAUGGGCGAAAGCCUGACGCAGCAACGCCGCGUGUGUGAUGAAGGUCUUCGGAUCGUAAAGCACUGUCGGGAGGGACGAAUAAGGGCCGGGUGAACAAUCCGGUUCGAUGACGGUACCUCCAAAGGAAGCACCGGCUAACUCUGUGCCAGCAGCCGCGGUAAUACAGAGGGUGCAAGCGUUGUUCGAAAUUAUUGGGCGUAAAGCGCGUGUAGGCGGUCUCGCAAGUCGGAUGUGAAAGCCCUCGGCUUAACCGAGGAAGUGCGUUCGAAACUACGAGACUUGAGUACCGGAGAGGGUGGCGGAAUUCCCGGUGUAGAGGUGAAAUUCGUAGAUAUCGGGAGGAACACCAGUGGCGAAGGCGGCCACCUGGACGGCUACUGACGCUGAGACGCGAAAGCGUGGGGAGCAAACAGGAUUAGAUACCCGUGU
rnacentral:rRNA from 1 species